rnacentral:rRNA from 1 species
AGGACGAACGCUUGCGGCGUGCCUGAGAAAUGCAAGUCGAACGAGAUCAUAGCCUUCGGGUUGUGGUCUAGUGGCGAACGGUCGAGUAACGCGUAAGCAACCUGCCCGAAAGGCGGGGGAUAAUCCGUCGAAAGGACGGGGUAAUACCGCAUAUCUUAGCUAGAGGUAGCUUUAGUUAAGAAAGAUUCAUCACUUUCGGAGGGGCUUGCGUCCCAUCAGCUAGUGGAGAGGUAACGCUCACCAAGGCGACGACGGGUAGCGGGUCUGAGAGGACGACCCGCCGGACUGGGACUGAGACACCGGCCAGACUCCGUACGGGGGGCAGCAAUCGAGGAAUCUUGCGCAAGUGGGACGAAAGCCUGACGCAGCGACGCCGCGUGGACGAGGAGUCGUUCGGAUGUAAAGUUCCUUUUCGAGGCGGAAGAGUGAGUGACCGGUACCGCGUAGAAGUAACGCCCCGGCUAACGUCGUCG